rnacentral:lncRNA from 1 species
GAUCCUAUAUCACAUUCUGAUCCAGAGUAAAAGCAAUUGAGAAUUGAUGACUACAUAAAUAAGAACAAAAAUAAAUAAAUAAGAAUGACAAUUGCUAUCUAGUUUUACUUUAGCCAUAUUCUAGCAUGGGCAGCAGUAAAUAUAUACUUUCGAUUGAUGAUUGAUAUAGUGCAAAAAUCAGUCCAGAUAUUGAUCCUCCUACAUCCUAU